CAGUAGCCACGGUAAUACGAAGGGGGCUAGCGUUGUUCGGAUUUACUGGGCGUAAAGCGCACGUAGGCGGACUUUUAAGUCAGGGGUGAAAUCCCGGGGCUCAACCCCGGAACUGCCUUUGAUACUGGAAGUCUUGAGUAUGGUAGAGGUGAGUGGAAUUCCGAGUGUAGAGGUGAAAUUCGUAGAUAUUCGGAGGAACACCAGUGGCGAAGGCGGCUCACUGGACCAUUACUGACGCUGAGGUGCGAAAGCGUGGGGAGCAAACAGGAUUAGAUAGCCCAGUAGUCCCUGUCUCUUAUAC
rnacentral:rRNA from 1 species